GAUGAACGCUGGCGGCGUGCUUAACACAUGCAAGUCGAACGGAAAGGCUCCUGCUUGCAGGGGUACUCGAGUGGCGAACGGGUGAGUAACACGUGGGUGAUCUGCCCUGCACUUCGGGAUAAGCCUGGGAAACUGGGUCUAAUACCGGAUAGGACGAUGGUUUGGAUGCCAUUGUGGAAAGUUUUUCGGUGUGGGAUGAGCUCGCGGCCUAUCAGCUUGUUGGUGGGGUAAUGGCCUACCAAGGCGUCGACGGGUAGCCGGCCUGAGAGGGUGUACGGCCACAUUGGGACUGAGAUACGGCCCAGACUCCUACGGGAGGCAGCAGUGGGGAAGAUUGCACAAUGGGCGCAAGCCUGAUGCAGCGACGCCGCGUGGGGGAUGACGGCCUUCGGGUUGGAAACUCCUUUCGCUAGGGACGAAGCGUUUUGUGACGGUACCUGGAGAAGAAGCACCGGCUAACUACGUG
rnacentral:rRNA from 1 species